GCCUGGGUGGCUCAGUUGGUUGAGCGACUGCCUUCGGCUCAGGUCAUGAUCCCAGACUUGCGGGAUCGAGUCCCGCCUGGGGCU
rnacentral:tRNA from 1 species